AGGGCUGAGAUUCAGUGGCAGAAUCUCUGCUUGGGAUGCAGAAGCCCCUAGAUUCAAUCCUUAGCAGUUCCA
rnacentral:tRNA from 1 species